rnacentral:rRNA from 1 species
GACGAACGCUGGCGGCGUGCUUAACACAUGCAAGUCGAACGGAAAGGCCCUGCUUUUGUGGGGUGCUCGAGUGGCGAACGGGUGAGUAACACGUGAGUAUCCUGCCCUUGACUUUGGGAGAACUUCAGGAAACUGGGGCUAAUACCCGAGAGGAGCUCCUGCUGCAUGGUGGGGGUUGGAAAGUGUCGGCGGUUGGGGAUGGACUCGCGGCUUAUCAGCUUGAUGGUGUGGUAGUGGCUUACCAAGGCUUUGACGGGUAGCCGGCCUGAGAGGGUGACCGGCCACAUUGGGACUGAGAUACGGACCAGAAUCCUACGGGAGGCAGCAGUGGGGAAUAUUGCACAAUGGGCGGAAGCCUGAUGCAGCAACGCCGCGUGCGGGAUGACGGCCUUCGGGUUGUAAACCGCUUUCGCCUGUGACGAAGCGUGAGUGACGGUAAUGGGUAAAGAAGCACCGGCUAACUACGUG